UGGGAUGCCAAUUAAACCGACCAUUUCCUCC
rnacentral:piRNA from 1 species